AAUUGCAGAAACAAAAGUUGAGGAACCAGUGUCAGAGCCAGGGACAAAUGGAGGUAGAAUGUGUAAGGAAAAAGUAUGUUCUGGGCAUGUGAGGACUGUAGUCAAUUUACCACCUCUUGGCUGGGAGGGACAGGCCAGGCAAAUAGGGUAGCAGAAUCUGGGUGCCACCUUACAGUGCGCUGACUCAGUGUGAUGUACAGGGAGAACAAGCUUAGUGCUACCUCUCAGCCAGUGCUCCCAUCCAGGUGACAGGAGGUUCAGAACCUGAGGACACUCACCCUGGAGACCUCACCUCUGAGCAUGGAGAUGCCCUGGGUUCCUGAUGCUGCCCUGGGAUCCAGAUUCCUCUAUUGUGUGGUCCUUUGCAUCCUGGGAUCAGGGGCAGUGGAUUCAGAAGUCAUACAAACCCCAGAACACCUGAUCAAAGCCAAAGGACAUCAAGUGACACUGAAAUGCUCUCCCAUGUCUGGACACUUGUCUGUGUACUGGUACCAGCAGAUCCUGGGCCAGGGCCCCCAGCUCCUCUUUCAGUAUUACAAUGGGGAGCAGAGAGAUAAAGGAGAAGUCUCAGGCCGCUUCUCAGCUUGGCAGUCCAAGGACUAUCGCUCUGAACUCACCCUGAGUGCCCUGGAGCUGGUGGACUCAGCACUGUAUCUCUGUGCCAGCAGCGUGACACAGCCCUCCGUGGUUGUCAGCUUUCUGUGCAAAAACGUUCCUAUCUCCAAACAGGAAGGGGAUGUGGUGGGUAGAUGCUGGCUAGAAACGAAAAAGCAUGCAAACUUUUCCCAGGCACUUGCCACUGCUGCUUCCUUAUAUGAUCUAAGACUUGGGUAAAUCAUGCAAGGAAGAUAUUAUUUAUGCAUCUCUGUAUUUGCAGAAAGCAACGCUCUUGAGGCCUGUGUCUAGUAACUACUUGAGCUUCUGUCCUUGAACAUCUCUACCCUGACUGUAUAGGUCUGUCCCCUUAUUGGGUUUCAUUUUCUGAGUUCUGAUUC